AUUCCAUAAACCAUAGUAUUUAUGCUAUCUGAUUAUUAUCACUUUCACACUUGAUUGUAUAUAUUUUUUUUCCAGAUAUACAAUUUUUUGCAAGGCAGCAUAUACACAGCUGAAAGAAAAUUCUCACUCUGGUGUCACGCCAAAACAAUGGGCUGAAGCACUUGCGGCUUCCAUUGCUGCUGUUAGUAAAUAUGGGGGUGCUAGUGCUGGUUAUAGAACAUUGCUAGAUGCCCUAAUUCCAGCAUUGUCAGUUCUUCAAGAGAGACUAAAUUCUAGUGAUGAUCCUUCCAUUGCCUUUCUUCUCUCUUCUGAAGCUGCAUUAGCUGGAGCUGAGUCAACCAAGAACAUGCAAGCUCAGGUGACAAUCUCAUCAAUGAUUCUUUGCGUUGUAGGUUGUUAGGUACUCAUAUACUAGGCCAUGUGAAAAGAUGAGUAAGGGGCAGAAGAGCGAUAUGGGUUGUUACAACCUUGCCUACCUGGAAAUGAAGGUAUGAAGG